rnacentral:rRNA from 1 species
GAUGAACGCUGGCGGCGUGCCUAAUACAUGCAAGUCGAGCGAACGGACGAGAAGCUUGCUUCUCUGAUGUUAGCGGCGGACGGGUGAGUAACACGUGGAUAACCUACCUAUAAGACUGGGAUAACUUCGGGAAACCGGAGCUAAUACCGGAUAAUAUUUUGAACCGCAUGGUUCAAAAGUGAAAGACGGCCUUGCUGUCACUUAUAGAUGGAUCCGCGCUGCAUUAGCUUGUUGGUAAGGUAACGGCUUACCAAGGCAACGAUGCAUAGCCGACCUGAGAGGGUGAUCGGCCACACUGGAACUGAGACACGGUCCAGACUCCUACGGGAGGCAGCAGUAGGGAAUCUUCCGCAAUGGGCGAAAGCCUGACGGAGCAACGCCGCGUGAGUGAUGAAGGUCUUCGGAUCGUAAAACUCUGUUAUUAGGGAAGAACAUAUGUGUAAGUAACUGUGCACAUCUUGACGGUACCUAAUCAGAAAGCCACGGCUAACUACGUG